AGUGAACGCUGGCGGUAGGCCUAACACAUGCAAGUCGAACGGCAGCACAGUAAGAGCUUGCUCUUACGGGUGGCGAGUGGCGGACGGGUGAGGAAUACAUCGGAAUCUACUUUUUCGUGGGGGAUAACGUAGGGAAACUUACGCUAAUACCGCAUACGACCUACGGGUGAAAGCAGGGGAUCUUCGGACCUUGCGCGAUUGAAUGAGCCGAUGUCGGAUUAGCUAGUUGGCGGGUUAAAGGCCCACCAAGGCGACGAUCCGUAGCUGGUCUGAGAGGAUGAUAGGCGACACUGGAACUGAGCCACGGUCCAGACUCCUACGGGAGGCAGCAGUGGGGAAUAUUGGACAAUGGGCGCAAGCCUGAUCCAGCCAUACCGCGUGGGUGAAGAAGGCCUUCGGGUUGUAAAGCCCUUUUGUUGGGAAAGAAAAGCAGCAGGUUAAUACCCCGCUGUUCUGACGGUACCCAAAGAAUAAGCACCGGCUAACUUCGUG
rnacentral:rRNA from 1 species